AAAUAAACAAAUACAUUAAUAAAUAAAAAAUAUCCGACAUCCCUGGUCGGCAAUUAUACACAAAUAAAUAAAGUGGUAAACAAACAUACAGAUGAACAAUAGGGAGGGUGUUCAAUCAAUGUUCAAACAAAGUUCAAACAACGUUCAAUCAAUAUUCAAAUCAAUAUUCAAUCAAUGUUCAAACAAUAUUCAAUCAAUGUUCAAUCAAUGUUCAAUCAAUAUUCAAAUCAAUAUUCAAUCAAUGUUCAAUCAAUGUUCAAUCAAUAUUCAAAUCAAUAUUCAAUCAAUGUUCAAUCAAUGUUCAAUCAAUAUUCAAUCAAUAUUCAAUCAAUGUUCAAUCAAUGUUCAAUCAAUAUUCAAACAAUAUUCAAUCAAUGUUCAAUCAAUGUUCAAUCAAUAUUCAAAUCAAUAUUCAAUCAAUGUUCAAUCAAUGUUCAAUCAAUAUUCAAAUCAAUAUUCAAUCAAUGUUCAAUCAAUAUUCAAUCAACGUUCAAACAAUAUUCAAAUCAAUAUUCAAAUCAAUAUUCAAAUCAAUAUUCAAUCAAUGUUCAAUCAAUAUUCAAUCAAUAUUCAAAUCAAUGUUCAAUCAAUAUUCAAUCAAUAUUCAAAUCAAUAUUCAAAUCAAUAUUCAAUCAAUGUUCAAUCAACGUUCAAACAAUAUUCAAACAAGAAUAAUAUUGUGAUUACUGGUGUCAAACCAUUUACUGUAAAUACAACUUCCAUGUGAUACAGAUAUAACUGCAGACUUAUACUACUCAUCAAUCAACCGUAAAACAGAUAUAACUGCAGACUUAUACUACUCAUCAAUCAACCGUAAAACAGAUAUAACUGCAGACUUAUACUACUCAUCAAUCAACCGUAAAACAGAUAUAACUGCAGACUUAUACUACUCAUCAAUCAACCGUAAAUGCCAGUUGAUGAAUGGUCAAAUCUGUACAUGUGAUUGGGAGAGCGAUCACUGGCGAAUUCAGAUCAAUUACCUAGUGAAGCCUUGGCUACAGGAGGAUUGAUUGAGCUCGCUGUCGCAAGUAUUGUGGUGUGAGUCAACACACUGUCCCUGACUGACUGUCCCUUUCACAGUACACAACACUCUGACUCAGUGGCUUGCAUGCCAAAUGGCACCCUAUUCCCUAUAUAGUGCACUACUUUGUUUACCAGGGCCCAUAUGAAGGGACAUAAAGGGAACCGGGUGACAUUUGGGACGCAUCUUAGUUCACUGUAGUGGUUCACUAGUGGACCAAUUAAAAGUCUAUGAGGACUUCUCAUUCUACCUGGCUUUGGUUCAUUUGGUUAAAAGAACAACAACUAGCUAGAUAAUAAUGGAUGAACUGAUUUGAAUGAAGAGAAUAAUGAGUGUGUGUGUGUGUGUGUGUGUGUGUGUGUGUGUGUGUGUGUGUGUGUGUGUGUGUGUGUGUGUGUGUGUGUGUGUGUGUGUGUGAAUGUGGUAUGUAAUUAACACAGUGGAACAGUGGGUGGAGGGUUAUAGGUCAGCAGACUCACAGACACGCCCUGAUAGAUUAAUUACUCGGUCUCACACACGUACGCAUGCACACACCACCACACCAAGUGGGCAUGAAAAACACACUAAAGGAGGUCCCAUUAAACAAGCUCGUUACACCGUCUUUCAUUUGAUGAGGGCGGGUGUGUGUGUUGGUGUGUGUGUGUUGGUGUGUAUGUGUUGGUGUGUGUGUUGGGGUGUGUGUGUUGGUGUGUGUGUGUUGUUGUGUGUGUGUUGGUGUGUGUGUGUGUGUUGGGGUGUGUGUGUGUGUGUGUGUGUGUUGGGGUGUGUGUGUGUGUGUGUGUGUGUGUGUGUGUGUGUGUGUGUGUGUGUGUGUGUGUGUGUGUGUGUGUGUGUGUGUGUGUGCGUGUGUGUGUGCGCGUGUGUGGUAACAAAGAUAUUGCAGAGGCAUGUCCACUCAGAAGCCACGAGUGACAUAAAUGACAAGUGAGAAAGACUUCCUCCAUGUUUGCUUCACUCAUCCGUUCCCACUCUGUCCUCCCCAUGGACUCUCUAUGCGUAACAGUGAGUGUGUAGUGUGUGUGUGUGUGUAGCGUUUGUGUGUGUGUGUAGCAUCUUCUCCAUCCUGUCCAUUAGCAAAAGGACAACGAGAGGACAACCAUGUCAACCAAACCCUGUUUAGACUUUGCCAAGUAGCUGUAACUAUCAAUGGAAGAGUUUCUGUACGGAUGGGACUUUUCUAGCCAUAAUAAAAAUAAAAUAAAUAAUGGCAAAAUCUGUGCACUACAACAUUUGAAAAGAUAAAUAAAUGAACAUGCAUGCCAGGCUAGUUUGGCACAUUUUCUUCUCGCCCAGCCUGCUGGUUACAUGAUCUCUUACCAAACACCAUUCUAUCAGACUUUUGAGGUCGUUGACGGUCCAUCUGUUCUCGCUCAUUGACUCCUGUGUAUUCUAAUUCCAGCGUGUACUAGGUUGUUUACAAGCGGGGGAAAAAAUGCUUUUCAUUUGAAUUGGGUUUUAGACUAGGGCCUUACCACUGAGGUCCUACAGUAUCUAGACUGUCUGUUACCACUGAGGUUCCCUGUUAUAGAGACUGUCUGUUCCCACUGAGGUCCUACAGUAUAGAGACUGUCUGUUACCACUGAGGUCCUACAGUAUAGAGACUGUCUGUUCCCACUGAGGUCCUACAGUAUAGAGACUGUCUGUUACCACUGAGGUCCUACAGUAUAGAGACUGUCUGUUCCCACUGAGGUCCUACAGUAUAGAGACUGUCUGUUACCACUGAGGUCCUACAGUAUAGAGACUGUCUGUUCCCACUGAGGUCCUACAGUAUAGAGACUGUCUGUUACCACUGAGGUCCUACAGUAUAGAGACUGUCUGUUCCCACUGAGGUCCUACAGUAUAGAGACUGUCUGUUACCACUGAGGUCCUACAGUAUAGAGACUGUCUGUUACCACUGAGGUCCUACAGUAUAGAGACUGUCUGUUACCAC